GCAUAUCAAUAAGCGGAGGAAAAGAAACUAACAAGGAUUCCCUCAGUAACGGCGAGUGAACAGGGAACAAGCUCAAAGUUGGAAUCUAUCUGGCUUAGCCAGAUCGAAUUGUAAACUUUAGAGUCGUUGUCCAGACCAGCCGAGUAAAUAAGUUCCUUGGAAUAGGACAUCAUGGAGGGUGAGAAUCCCGUCUUUGGCUUGAGCAUUGGUCUUUUGUGAUGCGACUUCAACGAGUCAGGUUGUUUGGGAAUGCAGCCUUAAUUGGGUGGUAAAUCUCACCUAAAGCUAAAUAUUGGCGAGAGACCGAUAGCGAACAAGUACCGUGAGGGAAAGAUGAAAAGAACUUUGAAAAGAGAGUUAAACAGUAUGUGAAAUUGCUAAAAGGGAACCGUUUGAAGUCAGUCUGGCUGGUCUGCAAUCAGCUUCAACUUUGGUUGGAGUGCACUUGUAGGCCAUUUUGCCUGCCAACAACAGUUUGUUCUGCAGCAAAAAGGUGUUGAGAAUGUAGCUUUCUCUUUGGAGGAAGUGUUAUAGCUCUUCGCGAAAUACUGUGGUUCAGACUGAGGCUUGCAGUGAAUGCUAUUUUGGCUUUGGGGAUGGAUUGCUCAGUGCUUUGCUUGGUUAGUUUCGGCCGUCAAACGUCGUGCUGGCUAAAUAAAGUCUGACUCGGUUCAUUCACUUUUAAUUCACUUUGGUUGUUGGCUUAAUGACUUUAAACGACCCGUCUUGAAACACGGACC
rnacentral:rRNA from 1 species